GUGGGACGUGCUCAGGCACUACCGGCAGUCUGGUAUGGAGGGGAGCUCUCCCCUGGGCGCUGCCGGAGGACUGCCUGGUCCUGACCAGGCACCCCCAGUACUGCAAAGAAGCCUGGUCAUUGAGGGAAAACAAAAAGAGGCUGCCCCAAACAAGGGUUGGCUGGAAUAAUGCAUGAAUGGACUGUUUAACCUGGAGGGAUGGAGAGGGGACAAAGGCAAGACUAGGCUGGGUUUGUUUGGGAGAGGAGCCAGGCACGUGUCCCAACGGACUCCAACUCACUAAACUCUUGUAGAAUUAUCAGGGCUGAUGAAGUGCAGGGUUUCAAACUCCUGCUGCAUGAUUGCUUUGUCACCACUUAAUUAGCAUCAGACGCCUUCAUGAUUUAACCAGGAGCCUGGCUUCUGCACACACAGGAGGGAGACUGCCCUCAAAGUUGCUAGGGGUAACCCUAACUCACAGUAAAACCCUCCGGAGUGGACCUGUGUCUGUCACUGAAAGAGAUACAGCCCACCCUUGAAUCAUGGGAAGGCUGUGUCACCCAGAGACACCAACAGAGGGCUUCAGAAACCUCCAGAUCAGUCAUUUCCAAGGAGAACCGACUGCUUCACAGCAUCUUCUCUGCCCAUGUUAACAAACGACACACAAAGAAAUGGGUACUAAACGGUCAUACCGCAGAGAAUAGCCAACAUCCGAAACCAGGCCUCUCCCAGCGCACACCAGCGUCCCCACUGCCGCCGACAGGGUCUCCUGGAGCCCCAGAGACCGUUCCGGGCCGAGGCUUUUGGGUCCCUUCCACGGAGGCAGAGACGGUCCCGAUCCUCAGUCCCGACGCAGCUCCCCAUUCUUCGUCCCCAGGCACCGGCCCCCCCUAUUCUUGGCCGGUGGCUCCCCUGGCUGUCGUGGGGAGGGGGCAGCCAGGACGACGGUGGCCACUUGGGCCUCGGGCCCUCAGUUCUGGGGCCCUCGGCCGAAGGGCUGGAAGCGGGCCAGCUCCCCCAGGGCCGAGGCUCCCACGGCAGCCAGGCUCCCCCCACUGGGCCCGCUGCUCCCGGGCUCGGUGGUGCCGGGCUCCCACCCGUGGGAGGAGGAGGCCGGGCGCCCCGGUGAGGCGGGGGGGGGGGGGCCCCCUCCCCCGCCCCCGCCUUGGCCCAGGGGGAAGAAGAGAGGAUGGCGAGUCCCCUCUUCGGCAGGGCUGUGUCCGCAGGGACCAGCUCCUCGUCCUGCCCCGGAGGAGAGGGACUUUCCAGAAC
rnacentral:lncRNA from 1 species